UUUUCUGACAACAUACAUGCAUUUAAGUUGAAGCUGACUUUGUGGGAGAUGCAAAUGGCAACCCUGCCCUGAUUUUAUCAGUAUCUACUACCAGGGUACCCCAAAUUAACAGCCCUGGCUGCUAAAAUUUUGUGCAUGUUUGGGACAACCUACCUUUGUGAACAAAUUUUCUCAGUGAUGAAUAUCAAUAAAACAAAAAAUGCGUUCAAGGCUCACAAACAAGCACUUAAAUGACAUUCUGAAAGUGACAGCUAGUCAGGACAUGACACCUGGUGUUGAUGCACUUGUACAGGCCAAAAGAUGCCAAGUUUCAGGUACAAAUACAAGUCCAGACUAGACUAACACCUUUAAAAUGCUGCCUUAGAUACUGUUUGCAUUGAAAGAAUACAGCUCUGUGAAGAUGAAUCCUUACUGUGGUGAUUUAAAAAUGUGCACUUUAAUGUUAGUCAGCAGCUUCAAAACAAAAGUUGUGUGAUGGAAUUCUACUGUUCAUACAACUCCAUACAUUUUCAGUAUGUAUUGUAUGUGUAUGUAUGUUUCAUGUAUGAAGUUUACAGAUUUACAGGACAGGCGAACACUUUCUUCAUUACACAUUUAAAAUCACUCUCCUUAGUUUGUAAGGUGUACGCAGGGAUUACAUUUAGAUUUUAUAUGCGUAUGUGUAAGUGGUUUAAAAAAUUCCUUUCUUUAAAAGUCUCAUUUAAUCUUAAAGUGCAUUACUAUAUUUUUCAGUACCAAUUAAAGUUUUGUGCCUUUGUACAAUCAGUGGGAUCAGUUGCAAUGCAUAUUUGUGAAUGAUAAAAGUAAAUUGCACAUUUGUCUAAGGAAAUAUGAGGUGUUUCAUGAAAUGUUUUGUAAAAGGAUAGUUCAUUAAAUUUCAAUAUUUUCCUAAUGUUCUUGUGCUUCUUUACACCAAAACAAAGGAAAGACAUGAUAUUUUGGUUAUUUAUAGCAGAGUAUGGUAUAAUUUUAAUGGUCCGGCCCACUUGACAUCUCCCUAGGCCGUAUGUGGCCCACGAUGCGAAAUGAGUUUGACACCCCUGGGUUAGAGGGUAGAGGUGGCAGGGUAGCCUAGUGGUUAGAGGGUAGAGGUGGCAGGGUAGCCUAGUGGUUAGAGGGUAGAGGUGGCAGGGUAGCCUAGUGGUUAGAGGGUAGAGGCGGCAGGGUAGCCUAGUGGUUAGAGGGUAGAGGCGGCAGGGUAGCCUAGUGGUUAGAGGGUAGAGGCGGCAGGGUAGCCUAGUGGUUAGAGGGUAGAGGCGGCAGGGUAGCCUAGUGGUUAGAGGGUAGAGGCGGCAGGGUAGCCUAGUGGUUAGAGCGU